UACGUAGGGGGCAAGCGUUAUCCGGAUUUACUGGGUGUAAAGGGAGCGUAGACGGCACGGCAAGCCAGAUGUGAAAGCCCGGGGCUCAACCCCGGGACUGCAUUUGUAACUGCUGAGCUAGAGUGUCGGAGAGGCAAGUGGAAUUCCUAGUGUAGCGGUGAAAUGCGUAGAUAUUAGGAGGAACACCAGUGGCGAAGGCGGCUUGCUGGACGAUGACUGACGUUGAGGCUCGAAAGCGUGGGGAGCAAACAGG
rnacentral:rRNA from 1 species